CUUGGUCAUUUAGAGGAAGUAAAAGUCGUAACAAGGUCUCCGUUGGCGAACCAGCGGAGGGAUCAUUACCGAGUUUACAACUCCCAAACCCCUGUGAACAUACCACUUGUUGCCUCGGCGGAUCAGCCCGCUCCCGGUAAAACGGGACGGCCCGCCAGAGGACCCCUAAACUCUGUUUCUAUAUGUAACUUCUGAGUAAAACCAUAAAUAAAUCAAAACUUUCAACAACGGAUCUCUUGGUUCUGGCAUCGAUGAAGAACGCAGCAAAAUGCGAUAAGUAAUGUGAAUUGCAGAAUUCAGUGAAUCAUCGAAUCUUUGAACGCACAUUGCGCCCGCCAGUAUUCUGGCGGGCAUGCCUGUUCGAGCGUCAUUUCAACCCUCAAGCACAGCUUGGUGUUGGGACUCGCGUUAAUUCGCGUUCCCCGAAUUGAUUGGCGGUCACGUCGAGCUUCCAUAGCGUAGUAGUAAAACCCUCGUUACUGGUAAUCGUCGCGGCCACGCCGUUAAACCCCAACUUCUGAAUGUUGACCUCGGAUCAGGUAGGAAUACCCGCUGAACUUAAGCAUAUCAAUAAGCGGAGGA
rnacentral:rRNA from 1 species